UCGCCGUAACUUGUCAUCUUGUGACGUCAAUCUUUCUUUAAUGUGAAAAUCCUAUAUAAUUUCCUUUAUGAAAUGCAAAUAUUUAAGAAUGACUAUCGUAACGUUAAGAUAGUAAGUGCUCACAAGACUCAGAAGUUUCACCAGAAGUUAAUUUAAAAAUACUGAUAUGAUUGCUUCUUACCUUGGUACUUUGUCUCGUUCAAAAGUUGGGAGAAGUGAAGACUAAAUGGUAUGCGGAAAUAUUGAUUUUGCUUUCGUUAAUCAAGGAAUAUUAUAUCUGGGAAACCUUGAUGGAUGUGGGCUCUAGUUUCAGGUCAGCUAACGUUCCUUCUGUUUCUUGAAUUAAGUGCCGUAAAAUUUCGGUCAGCUGCUUUUCAUUGAAAUUCUGCAGGAACGUCUUAACUAUUUUGAAAAAAUCGGGGUCACCAAUUAUGAAAUUAAUUCUUGCUUUGAACAACUCAAAGAACUUUUAAUAAAAAUGUUAGUUUUUUGAAAAAUCAAUUUUAACAAUCCGAUAACCAACGACCUUAUGGUAUCUCGUUUUUUAUAAUAAAACAUAUUGACAGGUAUAGGAACAUAUAUACAGAAGAAGCCAGAAUGGUCACCACACUAGGCAACUUGCUUUCAUUCAAGCAAUCAUUUUACAUCUCAAAGUUCGCGAGAUCCGAAUUUAACAGUCCAGUAUAUAGAUUGUUAGGUGUCGUUGGAGUUUUUUUUGUCAAAAGAUGUUAUUUGGAAUGAAUCUACUAAGGAAACCUAUCUAUAAAACAAAAAUUAUUAAUAACAGCCCAAUACAUUUAAGACAACCUUUAUUACUGAAUGCAUACUGGUCAUUUGGGUUACAAGUACAGAGCAUAACAACUUCAGUUAUUUAAAAAGCACUUACAUAAACUAACUUAUUCUAGGUGAUCAUCCGCACAGCACGAGACUAUAGAUAUUCAGUUAUUGUAUCCACAUUUCUAAGAAAUAUACUGUGAUAUAUCUAUCUGAAA